rnacentral:rRNA from 1 species
UAGUGACAAGAAAUAACAAUACAGAACCUCACGGUUUUGUAAUUGGAAUGAGUUAAGUAUAAACCCCUUAACGAGUAUCAAUUGGAGGGCAAGUCUGGUGCCAGCAGCCGCGGUAAUUCCAGCUCCAAUAGCGUAUAUUAAAGUUGUUGCAGUUAAAAAGCUCGUAGUUGAUUUUCUGUUAAUUUUUAUGUAUAAUAUUGCGAUAUUUACAUAAUAUUAACAUAAUUCACAUUACUUUACAGUAUGUGGAAUUUUACUUUGAGAAAAUUAGAGUGCUUAAAGCAGGCUAUUGCCUU